UGGGGAAGGCGGGAGAGGGAAC
rnacentral:miRNA from 1 species